UACGUAGGGUGCGAGCGUUAAUCGGAAUUACUGGGCGUAAAGCGUGCGCAAGCGGUUUUGUAAGACAGGCGUGAAAUCCCCGGGCUUAACCUGGGAACUGCGUUUGUGACUGCAAGGCUAGAGUAUGGCAGAGGGGGGUAGAAUUCCACGUGUAGCAGUGAAAUGCGUAGAGAUGUGGAGGAAUACCGAUGGCGAAGGCAGCCCCCUGGGUCAACACUGACGCUCAUGCACGAAAGCGUGGGUAGCAAACAGG
rnacentral:rRNA from 1 species